rnacentral:lncRNA from 1 species
GAGCAGACUGAAAAGCAGAUUUUUCUUUUCAUUUUCCCUCCACCUUUAUUUUUUAUUGUAGAGAAACAAGAAGAAAGGAGCAUUCAAAUGUUUGAACCCUCUCUGUUAAUAACAAUGUUAAACAUCACAAGUACAUUUUAUGGCUACCUACUCAUGAGGGAAGGUUUGGGUGCAGUUGCCAUUGGCCCUUUGUGGCUUUGAAACACAAACUACGCGAGAAGAACUUAACAGGCUGCAAGACCAAGCGUUCUGAGGCGAGAAGCUGCCGGAUUACAGAUUGCCUCUGCAAACAGUAAUUCAGUCGUUGUGCGUGUACACAAAUUUACAUUUUGCAGUUACUUCCUAUUUUUUUCACAAGAGUAACCUCAGACAGUUCAGUUUUCACAGAUGGAACAAUGUUUCAGUAUUUUAUUUUCCGUAAUUGUUCAAUGUGAUGGUUUACUGCUUUCUAUUCAAACUGUCUUCUGAAGAAG